ensembl:lncRNA
AUCUGUGACCUUAAAACUUCAGCCACUCAACUUAACAGAAGCCCCACCGAAUUAUCUCUGCCAGAUUAAUGAACAGAUUCCACCCACACAAGUAAUGGGACCGGCUGUCUGUCAGGAAGCAUUUUGAGCCUAUAAGAGUGACUCAUCUGGGACAGAUUGUCCUACAGUGAUGUGUGAGUGUUAGCGGUAUCCGGUGUGGCUGGACGGGUGUUAGCCAGUUUCAUCCCAAAUCUCCACCCAACAUAGCUGCUGCCCAGAGAUUAACUCUACCACAUAGAGCACACAGGUCGUGGAGUGAGCUUUGGGAGUCACCACAAGGUCGGCCUUCCUCCCAGAUAACUCUUUUCCCCUGAGGGGGAGUGAGCGAGAGGUACACUAAAUCACACAUUGUUCAAACAGCUCACACUGAUACCUUUUUAAGAAGUAACCAACUCCGGAAGUGUGACUUAUGUUGAA